UUCAUUCAUCACUUUGCUUUGGCUUGACUGUAAAUAGAAUUCUACUCCUUCUCUCCUCUUCAAGUUGUUGCUUUAUUUCAUUCAACUUGCAUGAAACUUACUAGUGUCACUAGGAAUUGCUUGGUGUCUGUUGGUUUUGCCUACUGAUGUAUCCUCAUAUCUCUGAGUCAGAAGCAUUUGUUUUGAUUGUACUUAUCUAAGAGAGCCUGCUUUAAAAGGGAAUCAUCUACAAUGUAUUUGUAUGUUCCUCAUUGAGAUUAUACCAUAAUCAGAAAUGAUCAAGUAAGGGAUCCCUUACUUUCUUAAAAUGAGGGACUUUUUUUUUUUUUUUUUUUUUUUAAAACAACUAAAAAAAAAGUUUAAUAUUUUAUGGAACUGAAAUUUUUUCAUAAUACAAUAUUUUGGGCGUGUUUUGAAUACCUAUACCAAAAAGUGGUGGUACAGUCUGCCCAGACUGUACAUACAUGUUUUGUUAUACGUACCCAAAUCACACCCAAAAUAUUGUGUUAUGAAAAAAAUUCAGUUCCAUAAAAUAUUAAACUUUUUUUUUUAGUUGUUUUAAAAAAAAGCAAAAAAAAAAAAUCCCUUAUUUUAAGAAAGUAAGGGAUCCCUUACCUGAUCCUGACCCAUACCAUAAUAUCUUUUAGAUCUCAUGAUAAAAGUGCAUAAGUUGUCAUGUGGCUGGUGAACAAAAGUAGUUCUGAACUAGACAGUUCUUUUUCAUCAGCCAAGUUAUGUAGGGUGCUUUUAUUAUCGAAAUUAUACCUUGAAUUGAGUUGGCCUUAAAAAAUGUCCAAGUUGUUGACUUGCUUAAGAUGCUAUUUGAACUUGAAUUGCAUGUUGUGUCCAUAGCUUUUGAGAUAUGCUGUUAAUUUAACUUUAUUUGAACUUGAGGCAUCUUUUAAGAGCAUACUCUAGGAGCAACUUAAGCUGCUUUAGAGACGAAGUAACCAUUUUGUCACCAUCUAAUAUGUUGUACAUAUGUAGGCUUUAGAGAUAGAUAGAAAGGAUUACUAUGGAAAACAUAGGCCAGAAGAUCUUAAAAAUGUUGAACAACAAAUACUACUUGUAGGAACAAAUAUCUGCUUCUAACCUGAAAAGAUGAAACAAGUGAAGCUUGCCUGCUAUCUUAUUUCUUUAUUUUCUUUCUUCUGUUGAGAAAAUGUCAAAUUUAUAUCCUCUUAAAAAGUGGAAUAAGAAGGAACAAUUUGCCAAGAUCUCAAUCCACUAUUCCAAAUGUGCCCUUAAUUGACCAACAUAUUCGUUCUAUUUUUACUGUUUUUUUACCUCCUCUUCUUCUUUUUUUCUUUUUUUUUUAUUUAUUAAUUUGGCAUUUACAACCAUAUAAUAGAUUACUAAGUUGAUAAACUUUCUUGGCAGGGUCAGCAGCAAUUGCAUAUCGUGAAGACGAACACAUCCCAUUGAUUCAAAAUUUUUCUUGUUUCUACCAAGUAUAGGAAUGUUCUCUCGGCCCUCCGGGCUGGGCUCUCGCGUGUCCAAAGUCCGAUCAAAUCAACCAGCGACCGGUUUACAAUACAAGGAGUUAAGCAAGGGCCAGGAGAUUGAUGAAAGAACUCAGUGUUGUUGCGGUUGGAAGGAUUGCUUUCUGCCGUCUGUUUUUCCCCUCUCUCCUCUUAGCAAAGUAGGCUGAAGUCAAACUUCUGGCGUAAUUCUAAAAAAAAUGAGCCUUUUCUCACUUAGCAAUGAGAAUAGAUUGUAUUUUUUAGUGUUCAUAAAUAUUUUUACACACCAUUAUCUCCAACUUUCUUGUUUUUCCAAGACAAGAUAGAUAAGUUUAUCACCUGUAAGUUAAAUUGUUUGGAGGAAAGGGGGUUGUUUUCUGUGAUGGUCCCUGUAACAGGAAUUCUAUACUACUAACACAUUUGUUGGGAGUGUUUGGUGAGAAGGAAGGAAGGGAAAGUAUAUCCUGAGAAAAAUAAAUAAAGGGAGGAAUUUAAUCAAAUUAUGGCUUUUAUCUUCUGCAAAAAGCAUAUAAAUCUUGUUGUAUUAUUUUUUGAGUGUAUAUAAGUUCUAAAUUUAGUCAACUUAUGACUUUUAUCUUCCAGUA
rnacentral:lncRNA from 1 species